UUCCACAUAUAUAGGACCCUUACCCACAUUCUUGUACUACCUUAAUAUCCUCCAACGCUCUCACAAAGUUUUCUUAUCUUCUUUACCAAUCAAAUCUCUAAAAAAACUCAAAAUAACAACAUACUCGUAUAAACUAGAGAAUCAAAAACCUUGUUUCUGCUUCAGAAACUCAGAAAUUCUCUAACCUAGCUAUCAAGUGUAUAUGCACUUUCCUCUUAUGGAAACUUCAAGCUCUUCUUGGGUUUUCAAAUUUUUCUUCGCCCGCUUACUCAUUUUCUUUCUUUCUUCUUCUCCUUGCUUUUCAUGGAGUUUGCAUUCUUCAAUUAUCAACUCUACCAUUGAACACCAAAAUCACACAUUUAUAUCGGAAUUCCGGGUAGUAACUAGAAGACUCUUAAACGAGUGUCCUGAUCCAAACCCUUAUCUCCAAAUAGAAGUUACUCCAAAUUCCAACCUUGCCGACGAAGAGAAUGUCACGGUUACAAUUAGCGGAGUUUUGGUUCCUGAUGAGCAUGAUUGGGUUGCCAUGAUUUCUCCUUCUAAUUCAGAUAUCUCAAAAUGUCCAUUGAAUGAAGUUCUAUUAUAGAGACCGGAGAUCUGACUAAACUUCCAUUACUGUGCCAUUAUCCUAUCAAGGCACAGUACCUGGGCAUUGAUCAAGACUAUCUCAAAUGCACAAAGAAAGAAUGCAAGGAAUAUGACAAUGGAAAAUGUGUGUUAAACACUUGCAGUGGCUCAUUGAAGUUUCAUAUCAUUAAUAUUAGAACAGAAAUUGAAUUUGUGUUCUUUGCUGGUGGAUUCGAUACACCUUGCAUUUUGACAAGGUCAAAUCCUGUGAAGUUUGCUAAUCCAAAACAACCAUUAUAUGGACAUCUCUCAAGCAUAGAUUCAACUGGAACAUCAAUGAGAUUAACAUGGGUUAGCGGUGAUAAGGAGCCUCAACAAGUACAAUAUGAGAAUAGAAAACAGACAUCAGAAGUUACUACAUUUACACAAGAUGAUAUGUGUAGUUUAAUUGUACCAAGUCCAGCCAAGGACUUUGGGUGGCAUGACCCGGGGUUCAUUCAUUCCGCAGUGAUGACAGGGCUUCAGCCUUCAAGCAUCUACUCCUACAAAUAUGGAAGUGAUUCUGUUGGUUGGAGCGAUCAAUUCCAAUUCCGGACUCCACCUGCAGGGGGAUCAAAUGAACUUAAAUUUCUUAUAUAUGGUGAUAUGGGAAAGGCUCCUCAUGAUGCUUCUAUUGAACACUACAUUCAGCCAGGAGCCCUCUCAGUGGUUCGAGCUCUGACUGAUGAAGUAGACUCUGGAAAUGUUGAAUCCAUCUUCCAUAUUGGAGACAUUAGUUAUGCCACUGGAUUCUUAGUAGAAUGGGAUUUUUUCCUUCAACUUAUAAGCCCAGUUGCUUCCCAAGUUUCUUACAUGACUGCUACUGGAAACCAUGAGAGGGAUUAUCAAGAGUCAGGGUCAGUAUACAUUACUCCUGAUUCAGGAGGAGAAUGUGGAGUUCCUUAUGAGACUUAUUUUCGAAUGCCAACUGCAGCAAAGGAUAAGCCAUGGUAUUCAAUAGAGCAAGCAAGUGUUCACUUCACAAUAAUUUCAACUGAGCAUGACUGGUCGGAAAAUUCUGAGCAGUAUGAAUGGAUGAAAAGGGACAUGGCUACUGUUGAUCGAUCAAAAACUCCUUGGUUAAUUUUUAUGGGGCACAGACCCAUGUAUACUUCAACAGACGGAGUCUUUAGUGUGGAUAAGAAUUUUGUUAAAGAUGUAGAACCAUUGCUACUUGACAACAAGGUUGAUUUGGCUUUCUUCGGCCAUGUUCAUAAUUACGAGAGAACUUGUGCUGUUUAUCAAGAAGAAUGCAAGGCCAUGCCUACAAUGGAUGAAAAUGGCAUCAGCACAUAUGAUAACAGCAAUUACAGUGCUCCAGUGCAUGCAGUUAUGGGUAUGGCUGGCUUCACCUUGGACAAGUUCAAAACUGAUGAUGUGGACUGUUGGAGUUUACGCAGAAUUUCUAACUUUGGUUAUGUAAGAGGGCAUGCAACAAAGGAAGAGAUAAAUUUUGAGUUUGUAAAUGCAAACACAAGGCAAAUUGAGGACAACUUCCGCAUAAUUAAAAAGCAAAGUUCUGAAUUUGUAGAUGUCUCACAAAUAAUGAAUCGCUUUGCCGGGAUGCCAAUGGAUGAGCCCAACACACAGAGUGACAUAUAGUACCUCUUCUUUCUAUCUAUAGGAUGAUCUUCAAAGAAUAUCUCUAAUACGAAUUCUUUUGGAUUUUGUUAAAGAGAGACUAAGGGCACAAAUUAAUGUGUAUUUGAUUUAAAAAUAAUAAUAAUAAAGUCAAAUUGUAUAUACAAAUAUCAAAGAAAACACACACACA